rnacentral:rRNA from 1 species
GAUGAACGCUGGCGGCGUGCCUAAUACAUGCAAGUCGAGCGAACAGACGAGGUGCUUGCUCCUCUGACGUUAGCGGCGGACGGGUGAGUAACACGUGGAUAACCUACCUAUAAGACUGGGAUAACUUCGGGAAACCGUAGCUAAUACCGGAUAAUAUAUUGAACCGCAUGGUUCAAUAGUUAAAGUCGGUUUUGCUGUCACUUAUAGAUGGAUCCGCGCCGCAUUAGCUAGUUGGUAAGGUAACGGCUUACCAAGGCGACGAUGCGUAGCCGACCUGAGAGGGUGAUCGGCCACACUGGAAGUGAGACACGGUCCAGACUCCUACGGGAGGCAGCAGUAGGGAAUCUUCCGCAAGGGGCGAAAGCAUGACGGAGCAAAGCCGCGUGAGUGAUGAAGGUCUUCGGAUCGUAAAACUCUGUUAUUAGGGAAGAAAAAAUGUGUAAGUAACUAUGCACGUAGUGACGGUACCUAAUAAGAAAGCCACGGCUAACUACGUG